CCUGGUUGAUCCUGCCAGUAGUCAUAUGCUUGUCUCAAAGAUUAAGCCAUGCAUGUCUAAGUCCAAGCUGUGUUCACACGGCGAGACCGCGGACGGCUCAUUAAAUCAGUCGUGGUCCAAAUGGGCCAGUGCAAAUCCUACUUGGAUAACUGUGGUAAUUCCAGAGCUAAUACAUGCAACUGAUAUCCCGAAGGCGGUGUUGGUGCUUGCUUGUCUUGCGCUUGCGCUGCUCUGACGGAUGCUUUUAUUAGACCAAACCGCUGAGGACUUGAGGGUUCGCGCUCUCUUGUCUGACUCGUGUGAUGGUGACUCUGGAUAACCAUUCUGACAAGCGAACGUACUCCUCUUCUGAGCGAGACGGCGCUGCCACUUUCGAGUGUCUGCCUUAUCAGCUAUCAACCGUUCGUUAUGCGCGACCGAUGGCUUUGACGGGUAACGGGGAAUCAGGGUUCGAUUCCGGAGAGGCAGCCUGAGAGACGGCUACCACGUCCAAGGACGGCAGCAGGCACGCAAAUUACCCAAUCCCAGCAAAUGGGGGAGGUAGUGACGAAAUCUAACGAUGCGGGCGCCCUUUCUGGGGCCCCGCAAUCGGAAUGGGCACUUUCUAAACAACCUGUUGAGAACCUACUGAAGGGCAAGUCUGGUGCCAGCAGCCGCGGUAAUUCCAGCUUCAGCAGCAUCUAUUAAAGUUGCUGCGGUUAAAAGGCUCGCAGUUGAAUGUCUGUAUCGAGCGCAGGUCAGGUGGACGUUGGGGCGUGGAAGUACGGGCAGUUGGAUGUCCGGGGGGCCUCGUGCUCAACGGCUCCUUCGGCUUUUCCACACACCCCCGUCCCUUACAAGCCUCCUCGCUCGGGUACAUAACGGGAAUCGGUCAAACGGAGUGUGGUCUUGGGAGUUGGGGUGUGCGUGGCUUCGCGGUUGCGUGCGUUCUUUCUUUCGGGGCUGCGUCAAGCUCCAUCGGUUUCACGGUCACCUUGAGUAAAUCAGAGUGCUCAAAGCAGUCGUAGGGGCCUUGCGCCCUGUGAACAGUCUUGACGGACUGACUUGGUUUUGCAUGGCAUGUCGGAAGACGACGUCGUGUGCUGGCUCAGAGGAUAAAUCAGUGGUACAAGCCAGCCUCGACGUAAUGAUUAAAAGGGACGGUCGAGGGCAUUGGUAUUGCGAGGCGAGAGGUGAAAUUCUGUGACCCCCGCAAGACCUCCUGAAGCGAAAGCGUCUGCCAAGGACGUUUUCAUUAAUCAUGAACGAAAGUUAGAGGAUCGAAGGCGAUCAGAUACCGCCCUAGUUCUAACCCUAAACGAUGCCAACCAUCAAUCCGCGCGUAGCACCCUUCUUAACGGGCUCGGCGGGCAGCUCCCCACUCACGGGAAACCAGAGCCUCUGGGUUCCGGGGGGAGUCUGGUUGCAAAGCUGAAACUUAAAGGAAUUGACGGAAAGGCACCACCAGGCGUGGAGCCUGCGGCUUAAUUUGACCCAACACGGGCCAUCUCACCAGGCCAGCACUCUUGUACGAUUGACAGAUUGAGAGCUCUUUCUCGAUUCAGUGGAUGGUGGUGCAUGGCCGUUCUUAGUUGGUGGAGUGAUUUGUCUGGUUAAUUCCGUUAACGAACGAGACCUUAACCUGCUAACUAGUUCGUAUUCUCACAGAGUACGAUACUUCUUAGAGGGACUAUAUAUGUUAAGUAUAUGGAAGUUUG
rnacentral:rRNA from 1 species